rnacentral:snRNA from 1 species
GUGCUCGCUUCAGCAGCACAUAUACUAAAACUGGAACGAUACAGAGAAGAUUAGCAUGGCCCCUGCGCAAGGAUGACACACAAAUUCGUGAAGUGUUCCAUAUUUUU